GACGAACGCUGGCGGCGUGCUUAACACAUGCAAGUCGAGCGGUAAGGCCCUUUCGGGGGUACACGAGCGGCGAACGGGUGAGUAACACGUGGGUGACCUGCCCUCAGCUCUGGGAUAAGCCUGGGAAACCGGGUCUAAUACUGGAUAUGACUCCAUGACGCAUGUUGUGGGGUGGAAAGCCUUGUGCGGCUGGGGAUGGGCCCGCGGCCUAUCAGCUUGUUGGUGGGGUGAUGGCCUACCAAGGCGACGACGGGUAGCCGGCCUGAGAGGGCGACCGGCCACACUGGGACUGAGACACGGCCCAGACUCCUACGGGAGGCAGCAGUGGGGAAUCUUGCGCAAUGGGCGAAAGCCUGACGCAGCGACGCCGCGUGAGGGAUGAUGGCCUGGUUGUAACG
rnacentral:rRNA from 1 species